CUCCGGAGUGGGUGUCUGCUACAGGUGUGCGUGAGUGCACAGCCGUGGCCCACGUUUGUGCCGGGGUGGCUACCAGCUCCCCAUGCAAAAGCUCCAGUGAAACAGCUGGUGAGUGGGACUCUAAAUGGAAGUGAUUUGCCUAGCACCAUGACAACAAGACACCCUCAGCGCUGAUGGCAGCCCUCCAGCCCUCAUCCUUCUCUGCUGGCUCCUACUCACACUUCGUGUUUCUUAAAAUACUUGCCUGGCUGGCAGCAGCGUGGUGACUCACCUGCAGCAUCAGGGCACAGAGCAGGUGGGAGCACUUCCUUCUGCAGAGGAGUCUGAGGCCAGCACAGCACCUGAGGCCCUGCCUUCGUUUAUACUGUUCCUGUCAAGGGCGGGGGUUCUCGCUCACUUGUCCAAGCUGCAAUUGCCCAAGAAAGCAAAGGGGCGUGGAUGUAGCAAACCGUGUGGCGCACGGACUCUGCAGAGCUGGGGAAAUCAGGCAGGUUGGCCGGCACAUCUCCUCCUCACCUUCAGGCCUGUGUGAGGUACUUGGAUGAAAAAUGAAGGACCACACAGAGUUAGCCUUGCUUGUGGCGCUGUGGGGACAUCUCUGAGCCGCUAUUGUUCCUGGAACCCUAUGAAUCCUGAGGUGCGCGUCUCUACUGGACACAGAGAGUUUGGGGUGUCGUUUGAGAGCCUUAUCUUUCCUUCUCUGGGACUCAAAGAAGAAAACAAAACAAAUGAAUCAAGGCCCGAAGUGAGCAACGCGGCGCAGAGGGCUGGCGAGACCCGAGUGCCACCAGAGCAGGAAGAGCAUGCAGAUUGUCAUCUCAGGGAGCUCGCGGUGAAACUGGCCUCCCCGGGCGGGCGCAACAUCCGCAAGGCUGACACAGAACACUGCCACUUGGGAAGGGAUGAAAAUACCCGGUGACAUCAGCGGUUCCUAGCACAGCCAGGGCAUUCUCGAGGUGUGCGGUGUCAGGACGGCCUGUGCUGGCCUCAUUUAUCUACCUGAGUCAUUUGAACAAAGCACUCGCUGGCUUA